rnacentral:rRNA from 1 species
CAGUUCGGAUCGGAGUCUGCAACCCGACUCCGUGAAGCUGGAUUCGCUAGUAAUCGCGCAUCAGCCAUGGCGCGGUGAAUACGUUCCCGGGCCUUGUACACACCGCCCGUCAAGCCAUGGGAGCCGGGAGCGCUUGAAGUGCGUCGCCGCGAGGCGCGCCCUAGAGCGAGACCGGUGACUGGGGCUAAGUCGUAACAAGGUAGC